rnacentral:piRNA from 1 species
UCUUCAUCCAUGUGUGCUCAUAGGAAUCUC